CGCGUGUACUGGUCCGGCCCGGGCCUUUCCCUCUGUGGAACCCCAUGCCCUUCACUGGGUGUGGCGGGGAAACAGGACUUUUACUGUGAAAAAAUUAGAGUGCUCCAGGCAGGCCUAUGCUCGAAUACAUUAGCAUGGAAUAAUAGAAUAGGACGUGUGGUUCUAUUUUGUUGGUUUCUAGGACCGCCGUAAUGAUUAAUAGGGACAGUCGGGGGCAUCAGUAUUCAAUUGUCAGAGGUGAAAUUCUUGGAUUUAUUGAAGACUAACUACUGCGAAAGCAUUUGCCAAGGAUGUUUUCAUUAAUCAGGAACGAAAGUUAGGGGAUCGAAGACGAUCAGAUACCGUCGUAGUCUUAACCAUAAACUAUGCCGACUAGGGAUCGGACGGUGUUAUAUUUUGACCCGUUCGGCACCUUACGAGAAAUCAAAGUGCUUGGGCUCCAGGGGGAGUAUGGUCGCAAGGCUGAAACUUAAAGAAAUUGACGGAAGGGCACCACCAGGGGUGGAGCCUGCGGCUUAAUUUGACUCAACACGGGGAAACUCACCAGGUCCAGACACAAUGAGGAUUGACAGAUUGAGAGCUCUUUCUUGAUUUUGUGGGUGGUGGUGCAUGGCCGUUCUUAGUUGGUGGAGUGAUUUGUCUGCUUAAUUGCGAUAACGAACGAGACCUUAACCUGCUAAAUAGCCCGUAUUGCUUUGGCAGUACGCUGGCUUCUUAGAGGGACUAUCGG
rnacentral:rRNA from 1 species